GUGUCAGCAGCCGCGGUAAUACGUAGGUGGCAAGCGUUGUCCGGAUUUAUUGGGCGUAAAGGGUGCGCAGGCGGUUUCUUAAGUCUGAUGUGAAAUCCCACGGCUUAACCGGGGAGCGUCAUUGGAAACUGGGAGACUUGAGUGCAGAAGAGGAAAGCGGAAUUCCAAGUGUAGCGGUGAAAUGCGUAGAGAUUUGAAGGAAAACCAGUGGCGAAGGCGCCUUUCUGGUCUGCAACUGACGCUGAGGCGGGAAAGCAUGGGGAGCAAACAGGAUUAGAUACCCUGGUAGUCCACGCCGUAAACGAUGAGUGCUAAGUGUAAGGGG
rnacentral:rRNA from 1 species